rnacentral:rRNA from 1 species
UACGUAGGGGGCAAGCGUUGUCCGGAUUCAUUGGGCGUAAAGAGCGUGUAGGCGGCCAGGUAGGUCGGUUGUGAAAACUGGAGGCUCAACCUUCAGACGUCGACCGAAACCAUCUGGCUAGAGUCCGGGAGAGGAGAGUGGAAUUCCUGGUGUAGCGGUGAAAUGCGCAGAUAUCAGGAAGAACACCCGUGGCGAAAGCGACUCUCUGGAACGGUACUGACGCUGAGACGCGAAAGCGUGGGGAGCGAACAGG